AAGGGCGCGUCCGGAGGGGCGGGGCGAGGCACGUUUUGCCGGGUGGCGGAGGAGGAAGGCCACGCUGGAGGUCGGGCGGCUGGGUGAUCGCCUCUUGGAAGGAUGCGGCACCAAACUUGCUUUGAAAGGAAUGUGCCUCAUACCGUCAUGGACUCUGGGGAAUAAAAAAAUAAAAAGCAGACACAUUCCCUGCUCUCAAGAGCGCACGUGGCCUUGUAAGUCUUUUUGGACAACAGAAAAUCUCAGCCCUGCUACUUCUUGGGAAACUAAAUUCGAAGAAAAAAAGAAAAGACUCCAAGUGGCUUCCCUGGUAAAGAAUCUGCCUGGGAUGAGGGAGACCUGGGGUUGAUCCUUGGGUCAGGAAGAGCCCCUGAAGAAGGGAAUGGCUAUCAACUCCAGUAUUCUUGCCUGGAGAAUUCCAUGGACAGAGGAGCUUGGCGGGCUACAAUCCAUGGGAUCAGAAAGAGUCGAAGUGGACCGAACGACUUUCACAUUGUUUAUUUAAGUAUUUUAAUUGGAGUAGGAUUGCUUUACAAUGUUGUGUUUCUUUCUGCUAUACAACAAUGUGAAUCACCUGUUUGUUGUUGUUCAGUCACAGUUGUGUCUGACCCUUUUCGACCCCAUGGACUGCAGCAAUAUAUAUGUAUAUAUCCCCUCUGUUUUGAGCCUCCCCGGCAGCUCGCCAUCUCACCCCUCUAGGUCAUCACAGAGCACCAAGCUGAGCUCCCUGUGCUAUACAGCAGCUUCCCACUAGCUAGCUAUGGGCCAUUCUUCUAGACACAUAUUCAUUAUUAAAGUGAAAUUGAAACUAGGGGUAUUUCACAAUGGACUUAAUAUUAAAAAGUGUUGCUACCUAGACUGCUAAAACCUGAUACACUUUAUUGCUACUUAACCUAAAGGACAUCAGUCCUAGGU